UACGACUACAUAUCAGGCAUAUCAAUAAGCGGAGGAAAAGAAACUAACAAGGAUUCCCUUAGUAACGGCGAGUGAAGCGGGAAGAGCUCAAAUUUGAAAUCUUCAAGGUUCUACCUUGACGAAUUGUAGUUUAAAGAAGUGUUUUCUGUUAGAUGAGUAGCAAAAGUUCCUUGGAAUGGGACAUCAUAGAGGGUGAGAAUCCCGUAUUUGGUUAUUCAUUCUAGCUUUGUGAUACACUUUCAAAGAGUCGGAUUGUUUGGGAAUGCAGUCCAAAAUGGGUGGUAAAUUUCAUCUAAAGCUAAAUAUUGGCGAGAGACCGAUAGCGAACAAGUACCGUGAGGGAAAGAUGAAAAGAACUUUGAAAAGAGAGUUAAACAGUACGUGAAAUUGUCAAAAGGGAAGCGUUUGACACCAGUGUUGUUUUUCCGAAAAUCAAUUACGAAUGGCUUGAUUUUGUGUUGUAUUGACCUUAUCAGCUUUCUUCACUUUUUUCGAGUCUUUCUUAAUGCACUUUUUGGUUAACAAGUCAACAUCAAUUUCUUUUGUUGUAAAAGAGUAUUCGGAAGGUGGCUUUCUUUUCGGAGAAAGUGUUUAUAGCCCUAUACUUCUACAAUCGGAGAGAUUGAGGUCUGCAGCGUAGAUCCUUCGGGGUUAGAUACACUUGUGCUAAGUUGUAGCUUUUCAUAGACAACUUGUUGACUAUGUUUAGUCAUGCGGCUUACUCGCUUAUGCUAUUUUACCUACGCUUAGGAUGUUGAGUAGCGACAUACGCAC
rnacentral:rRNA from 1 species